rnacentral:lncRNA from 1 species
CGCGGACUCUUCAGCAAUGUGCUGAAGGGGGACAGGAGGGAGGAAGGGAGGGUUGUGACAAAGGUGCAUUGUUGAGUUAGCCACACAAGAGGUUGUUCAAAGGGAGGGGCAUUCUGGGGAAGCUUAAUGGAAUGAACCUAAGAAGCAGACACUCUCAGCCUCAGAGAGAUCCCAGGUGAGCAGCAGCACUCCUACAUUACCUGAGUCCGCAUCCUGUUAGGUUACCUUGUGAGGAGUCCAGCCUGUCCAGAAAUAAUUCCUGGAGCUGUGACUGGACCAAGACAAUUCAAUAUGGUGCACAAGAGUUGUGUGCUAUCAGGAAAAGGAAUUAUUCCCACUUGGAGAUGAGUUUUAAAAGCUGACUUUGAUUUAGUAGAGUGAAGUGAAUACUGUGAUUACUUUUCAAAAUUUUAGCAGUAAACCAUCAAAACACCAAAGAGAUCAUUUUAUUAUUAUCAAUUUUACCAAGAUAUGCAGCUUUCUCAGGAAAGAACAAUACAUCUUGAAUCUAGAAAACAUAUUAUAGAUAUUGAGUUCAGUUAUGUACCAUCGAUAAGAGUAAGCCAGUUGUAAAAGGUGUUCAGUGAAACAGGCCUCAAUAUUUAGCAAAUUUAGCAUUUUAAAUAUGUGAAUGGGGGUGAGAGAAGCAGCUUAAAUAUAUACAAUAAAAUACAAUAUGUAUAUAUGUUGAUUUUGAAACACGUGAUUAUAAAUAGAGAGGGAUUGUAAGCUGGCACACCGUAUGCUCCCUGAGCGGUUAUUGAGGCAAUGAUAGCACAGCCAAGGGCUCAUUUUGAAAUGCUGAUUAUUACGCUAUGCCAGACAGAAGUGGGAAUCAAAAUGAUUUACUUGAAGAACUUUGACUGUAUGACCGUGAAAUCAUUUAUACACUGCUAAGUGAUUUGAAUACCCACGAAGUCUGUAAGUCCCAAGCUUGUUCCUUCACAUUUCCCUGCAUUGCUCCCACCAAAGCCAGAGAUUAUGUAAAAUAAUGAGUCUGGAAUUCAUAAGCAGAUAUUUCUAUGGGCUUCAAUCAUAAGGGCUGGUUAAAAGUUGCUAUCUUUUCAAUAGGGUCUUCCCAUCUGUUUUAAUUGCCCAUUGCUAUUAUACCAGAUUAACACAACUUUGAUGGUUUAAAACGACAGACAUUUACUUCCUCACGGCUCUGGAAGCCAGACAUCCAGAAUCGAGGUGUCAGCAGAGCUGUGCUUCCCGCUGAGGUUCUUGGAGAGCAUCCAUCCCUUGCCUUUCUAGCUUCUGGUGGCUGCUGACAUUUCUUGAUGCUUGUUCCUUGACUUGUGGGGUCUGUCACUGCAAUCUCUGCCUCUGUCGUCACAUCACCUUCCCAAAUACCCUCUACCUAUUUCUUAUAAGGACAUUUAUGAUGGCAUUUAGAGCCCAUCAGGAUAAUCCAGAAUUAUCUCUUCAUCUCAAUUAUCCUUAAUUUAUUCGCAUCUGCAAAGACCCCUUUUUCCAAGUAACAUGAAUAGGUUCAAGAGAUAGAACCUGAUGUCUUUGGGGCCACCUUUCAGCCCAUUAAACCAACCAUGAGUUAAUCUACUGAGACUAAUUAUCUACUUACUUAUGGCUGCUAUGGAAUAACAAUUGAAAAGGAAAUUCUGCUCCCCCCACACUUAUCCACAUCGCUGCCCUAGGAUUAACCACAAUUUGUUUCUAAGAUAGAGGUCAGCACACAUUUUAUGCAGUCCCAGAGAGUAAGAAUUUCAGAAUUCGUAGACCAUAUGGUCACUGUCACAACUAUUUAACUGCCUUUAUAGUGUGAAAGCAGAUAAACAAUAUGUAAAUGAAUGGAUUCCCAUAAAACUUUAUUUUCAAAAACAAGCAGUGAACUAGAUGUGGGCUGUGGAUGCGGUUUGCGGACUCUUGCAAGGUCUAGGCUUUUCUUGGAGAAAAUGAAAAUAUUUCUGUAUUUCAGGCUUUGUACCGAAAUUCCUUGUGCUUCAGAAUUGCCCUGAAAGAGGGAAGGGUGACUAUGUUGAAAUUGAGAUAGGAGGAAGGCACACUCUGGCAGGAGUGCAAGUGUGAGGGAGGCACCCCAAGUCUAGGGGAAAGAGAUGGGGCAGUUCUUGGAGUAUUCAGUUUCCCAUUGCUGCUGUAAGAAAGGACCACAAACUUACAGUUUAAAACUGCACAUUAAUUAUCAUAUAGUUCUGUAGGUUAGAAACCCAAGGUCUCACCAGUUUAAAAACAAGAUGUCACCAAGACUAUGCUCUUUCUGGAGGCUCUGGAGAAAAGUUCGUUCCCUUGCCUUCACCAGCUUCUAGAGGCUCCCCACAUUGUUUGGCUCAUAGUCCUCUUCCUCCAUCUUCAAAGCCAGCAGGAGCCGAUUGAAUCCUUCCAUCAGAUCACUCCAAUCUUCUUUUUGCCUCCCUCUUCCACUUUUAAAGACACUUGUGAUUACACUGGGCCCACUCAGAAAAUUCAGGAGAAUAUCCUUAAGUCAGUUGACUGGCCAUCUUAAUCAUUUCUGCAACCUUAAUUCUCCUUUUCCAGAUAAUGUAACAUAUUCCCAAGUUCUGGGAACUACAAUGUAACAUCUUUGGGGGACGAUUAUUCUGCCUACCACAAGGCACAUGCAGAACCUGCAUCUUACUCCAAGCAAAGCUCAGGCUGUGGCAAAACUUUGGAUGAGGGAUGAAUGUAGGGAUCAAAGAGGCUGAAAAACAAAUACUCUGGUUCUGAGAGCAAAUUUCUUGUGGCAAAGAGGACCAUGUGAAAAGACAUCUCUGGAACCCAAUCGGAACAUCUCUGCAGCUCUCAACAGAGCUGCCCAGCAUUCAAGUGAACAAAUCAAUGGUGGUCAUCAUGCACUAAGGACCAGGGACCUUUUCCAUUUUCACAGAAUAAUGUGCGCCCUAGCUUCUUAGAUGGAAGUAAAUAGUAGUUCUAAUAUUGACCAAUAUGCCCCAUCAAUCAGAUGGUUGAGAACUCAGAGCAGGUUAAAUUUGAUUAGAAAAAUGGAUGGAUAAGACAUUCUUAUUAUCUUGGGAUAACACUGGACUUUCUCAUACUCGUUACAUUAUCUUCCAAAGUAUAGCUGUUCAAUAAGUAGUUUCCUUUCUUCCUUCCUCUAACUUCCUAACGUUUCAACCUAGCUACUCAAAAGCCUUAAUAAGUUCAGCAAUUCUGAGUCUGGCAUUUAAGAUCCCCUGAACAAUAUCUGAUACAAUGCUACUUUUGCAAAGUUAUUACCAAAUAUUAACUUUUACAUUUCAUUCUUUCCAACAUAAUUACGUUUCGUGUUUCCUGUUAAUGAGUCGAUUUUGUGUGUGUGUGUGUGUGUGUGUGUGUGUGUGUGUGUGUGUUUUCAUGCCAUGAAAGGCUUUUUCCAUCCCAUCCUUACACCUCUAAAUCCUACGCAUAUUCAAUGUCAUUUGCAAAUGCUACUUUUUAACAGAAAUUCUUCCUUAAUCAUCCAAAAGGAAUUACUGGAGACCCCAAUGCUAUUUGCAUAAACCUUUAACUGCCAGACUCUCCUAGCAGUGUCAGUCCCAUGCCAUCAGAAAAUAGUAAGUAUUCUAGGAAAAGAUUUAGUACAGGGGCAGGUCAUACAGGUGUUUGAGAGCUGAAAGAACAACAGAAAACACUAAAGAUUACCCAGCCAUAACAUGCAAGCUACUACCCACAAAGCUUGAAGAAUGAAAAGGCAGAGGUUAAAUGACUAGAAUUUAGGAUCCCAGAGUAGGAACCUUGGUGAACUCAGAUCCCUGAGGAGGGGACAAUGCCUGCUUGCAGUUGGUACUUAAGGAAGGGAGCAAUUAACUAACUAAAAUUCAAAGAAGCUGGAGAUUGAAACCAGCCGCCAUUCAUAAGACAAACUGUUCCUACUGGGGUGAAAUGUCACUGCUGCAGCAAAUUGUCACUGCCAAGGUGAUGGCAGUAGGAACAGCAAAUAGGAAUGAGGAAGUCUUUCCUUCUUUCUUGUGUUCCCAUCAUCCUAGUGUUUCUUGGCAAAACCCAACAGGAAACCAGCUGGUAACUGAAUCUGAGAAAUACAGUUUUCUGUAUCUUACCCCAGAUUGGUAAGGCAGAAAUACAAAGGUGGAAUUGAAAUCAGACAGAGCAGGGCUUCUUGAAGACUAAUGAGGGAGAAACUGCAGUAACAAUUCUUUCAAUCCCUUUAAAUUUUACUUUAUAAAGAUUGACCACGUGGCCAACACAUUGGGUAGACCCAAUAAUAACUCUUCCCUUUCUACCAUGAAUCUUCCUUUGACAAUUACCCAUUUCCAUUAAUAGCACUUAUAAGGAUCUCCAGACACACAAACCAAAGAUCCUGGCAUCCACCAAUAUUUUCCUCUCUAUCACACAAUACUCAUCCACUACCAAAUCCUAUUUCCUUUUUAUCUCCAUCCUUAUUCCCAUUACUCAUUCCCCAUCACCUUAUAUUUGGGUGGCUGCAUAUUACCCAGCUGGUCUUGUUUCUUCCAAUUUCAACAAGUCUUUGUUGAAUAAGCACUAUGCAAACCAAUAUGGUAGUCCCAGAAAUAAUCGUAUCAGAAAGAUAAUACUCAUAUAUGUUUUUAAAUGACAGUCAAUGAUAUGUGAAUAUUUUGAGAUUCAGUGAAUGUUUUGGAAUUCAUAAGCAAGAGGAAGCAUUGAGAUGAAACAUAUCAGAGCAAAACAAGAGAUAGAUUUUGAGGAAUGGUUUAGACAGAGAAGACAGGAAAAAAAACUGAGGGGAGAGGACACACCAGACUGAAGGAGAAGGUAAAAAAAACCAAGAGGUAAAAAUGAUUAUGUUGAUAUUUGAAAGGACAAAAGGAGAUAGGACUAAUCAGACUUUAGGAUGCAUGAAGGAGGUAUCAGAAAGUCCUUGCUGGGAUGGUAGCUACUUUGUGAAUGGGUACAAAUAAGCCAUCUAGGACACAUAUCGAAGUUACCCCAGAAGCACCAAUAAAUACAUUCCUAUUUCAUAGAGUCUAACCAUGUCAGGUAGAUUACUAUCUCCUUUGUUCUGAGCGCUAUCCCUGACUCUGAGGUAACAGACCAAUACCAUUAGCUUCUUUAAUGUCCAAACCACUUUGCUUACUUCUAUUUACUCUAGUUUGCUUUACUAUUUAUUAAAGCCCCUGUGGCUCAGUAAGUUAAAGGAUCUUGUUUGUCACUGCUGUGACUCAGGUCGCUGCUAUACCAUGGGUGUGGCCAAAAACAAAACUGAAAAAAAACCAAAAAAACCACUAAGUAUUUCUAUAUCAACUUGGCUUAAAUAUUUUUUCUUUUUAAAAUAAAGUGAAUGUUUGAGUAUCAGGAUGCUUUUGUUAACAAAGAAGACUCCAGGGAGUUCCCAUUGUGGCUCAGUGUGAUAUGAACCUGACUAGUAUCCAUGAGGAUGUGGGCUUGAUUCCUGGCAUCGCUCAGUGGGCUAAGGAUCCAGCAUUGCCAUGAGCUGUGGUGUAGGUUGCAGACAUGGCUCGGAUCCUGAGUUGCUGUGGCUAUGGCAUAGGGUUGGAUCCCAUGCAGCUGUAGCUCCUAUUCAACCCCUAGCCUGGGAACAUCCAUAUGCUGCAGGUGCAGCCAUU